UUAGUGGCGGACGGGUGAGUAACGCGUGGGUAACCUGCCGUAUACCGGGGGAUAACACUUAGAAAUAGGUGCUAAUACCGCAUAAGCGCACAGAACCGCAUGGUUCCGUGUGAAAAACUCCGGUGGUAUACGAUGGACCCGCGUCUGAUUAGCCUGUUGGCGGGGUAACGGCCCACCAAAGCGACGAUCAGUAGCCGGCCUGAGAGGGUGAACGGCCACAUUGGGACUGAGACACGGCCCAGACCCCUACGGGAGGCAGCAGUGGGGAAUAUUGCACAAUGGGGGAAACCCUGAUGCAGCGACGCCGCGUGAGUGAAGAAGUAUUUCGGUAUGUAAUGCUCUAUCAGCAGGGAAGAAAAUGACGGUACCUGACUAAGAAGCCCCGGCUAACUACGUGCCAGCAGCCGCGGUAAUACGUAGGGGGCAAGCGUUAUCCGGAUUUACUGGGUGUAAAGGGAGCGUAGACGGUGAUGCAAGUCUGGAGUGAAAUGCGGGGGCUUAACCCCUGAACUGCUUUGGAAACUGUGUGACUGGAGUGCAGGAGAGGUAAGCGGAAUUCCUAGUGUAGCGGUGAAAUGCGUAGAUAUUAGGAGGAACACCGGUGGCGAAGGCGGCUUACUGGACUGUAACUGACGUUGAGGCUCGAAAGCGUGGGGAGCAAACAGGAUUAGAUACCCUGGUAGUCCACGCCGUAAACGAUGAUUACCAGGUGUCGGGGAGUAAGACUCCCCGGUGCCGGCGCAAACGCAAUAAGUAAUCCACCUGGGGAGUACGUUCGCAAGAAUGAAACUCAAAGAAAUUGACGGGGGCCCGCACAAGCAGCGGAGCAUGUGGUUUAAUUCGAAGCAACGCGAAGAACCUUACCAGGUCUUGACAUCCACUUAAAGCCGUAGAGAUACGGUGUGAGCUUGCUCAAAGUGAGACAGGUGGUGCAUGGUUGUCGUCAGCUCGUGUCGUGAGAUGUUGGGUUAAGUCCCGCAACGAGCGCAACCCUUAUCCUUAGUAGCCAGCGGCGAGGCCGGGCACUCUAGGGAGACUGCCAGGGAUAACCUGGAGGAAGGUGGGGAUGACGUCAAAUCAUCAUGCCCCUUAUGAUUUGGGCUACACACGUGCUACAAUGGCGUAAACAAAGGGAAGCGAGCCCGCGAGGGGGAGCAAAUCCCAAAAAUAACGUCUCAGUUCGGAUUGUAGUCUGCAACUCGACUACAUGAAGCUGGAAUCGCUAGUAAUCGCGGAUCAGAAUGCCGCGGUGAAUACGUUCCCGGGUCUUGCACACACCGCCCGUCA
rnacentral:rRNA from 1 species